UAUGGCCAUAUCAUGUUGAAACACUUGUUCUCAUUUGAUCACCAAAGUUAAGCAACGUUGAGCCUGGUCAGUAUUUAGAUGUGUGACCACUGAGGAAUAUCAGAUGCUGUAAG